rnacentral:rRNA from 1 species
AGCCUGAUGCAGCGACGCCGCGUGAGGGAUGACGGCCUUCGGGUUGUAAACCUCUUUCAGUAGGGAAGAAGCGAAAGUGACGGUACCUGCAGAAGAAGCGCCGGCUAACUACGUGCCAGCAGCCGCGGUAAUACGUAGGGCGCAAGCGUUAUCCGGAAUUAUUGGGCGUAAAGAGCUCGUAGGCGGUUUGUCGCGUCUGCCGUGAAAGUCCGGGGCUCAACUCCGGAUCUGCGGUGGGUACGGGCAGACUAGAGUGAUGUAGGGGAGACUGGAAUUCCUGGUGUAGCGGUGAAAUGCGCAGAUAUCAGGAGGAACACCGAUGGCGAAGGCAGGUCUCUGGGCAUUAACUGACGCUGAGGAGCGAAAGCAUGGGGAGCGAACAGGAUUAGAUACCCUGGUAGUCCAUGCCGUAAACGUUGGGCACUAGGUGUGGGGGACAUUCCACGUUUUCCGCGCCGUAGCUAACGCAUUAAGUGCCCCGCCUGGGGAGUACGGCCGCAAGGCUAAAACUCAAAGGAUUUGACGGGG